rnacentral:rRNA from 1 species
UACAGAGGGGGCAAGCGUUGUUCGGAAUUACUGGGCGUAAAGGGCGCGUAGGCGGCCUGUUAAGUCGAACGUGAAAUCCCCGGGCUCAACCCGGGAACUGCGUCCGAUACUGGCAGGCUUGAAUCCGGGAGAGGGAUGCGGAAUUCCGGGUGUAGCGGUGAAAUGCGUAGAGAUCCGGAGGAACACCAGUGGCGAAGGCGGCCUUCUGGGUCCGCCCUGACGCUGAGGCGCGAAAGCGUGGGGAGCAAACAGG